rnacentral:rRNA from 1 species
AUGAACGCUAGCGACAGGCCUAACACAUGCAAGUCGAGGGGCAGCACAAGGAGCAAUCUGAGGUGGCGACCGGCGCACGGGUGAGUAACACGUAUGCAACCUGCCUGUAAGCGGGGAAUAACCCGUUGAAAGACGGACUAAUACCGCAUAAUACUAAAUUACUGCAUGGUAAUUUAUUUAAACAUUUAUGGCUUACAGAUGGGCAUGCGCAUGAUUAGCUAGUUGGAGAGGUAACGGCUCCCCAAGGCAACGAUCAUUAGGGGUUCUGAGAGGAAGGUCCCCACACUGGUACUGAGACACGGACCAGACUCCUACGGGAGGCAGCAGUGAGGAAUAUUGGUCAAUGGACGAGAGUCUGAACCAGCCAAGUCGCGUGCAGGAAGAAUGUCCUAAUGGAUUGUAAACUGCUUUUGCAGGGGAAUAAAGUGCAUCACGUGUGAUGUUUUGUAUGUACUCUGCGAAUAAGGAUCGGCUAACUCCGUGCCAGCAGCUGC